rfam:Enterococcus faecium DO, complete genome.
AUAAUGAUACUUCCGUAACCAAAUCGGCCCGCCAUUACUGGGGGGAGGUGAGAUUCCUAUGU